CCUACGGGAGGCAGCAGUGAGGAAUAUUGGUCAAUGGUCGGGAGACUGAACCAGCCAAGCCGCGUGAGGGAUGAAGGUACAGAGUAUCGUAAACCUCUUUUGUCAGGGAACAAAGGCGGGGACGUGUCCCCGGAUGAGUGUACCUGAAGAAAAAGCAUCGGCUAACUCCGUGCCAGCAGCCGCGGUAAUACGGAGGAUGCGAGCGUUAUCCGGAUUUAUUGGGUUUAAGGGGUGCACAGGCGGUCUGUUAAGUCAGCGGUAAAAGCCCGGGGCGAAACCCCGGCCCGCCGUUGAAACUGGCAGUCUCGAGUUGGAGAGAAGUAUGCGGAAUGCGCGGUGUAGCGGUGAAAUGCAUAGAUAUCGCGCAGAACUCCGAUUGCGAAGGCAGCAUGCCGGCUCCACACUGACGCUGAGGCACGAAAGCGUGGGUAUCGAACAGGAUUAGAUACCCUUGUAGUC
rnacentral:rRNA from 1 species